ensembl:snRNA U1 U1 spliceosomal RNA
AUACUUACCUGGAAGGGGAGACACCAUGAUCAAGAAGGUGGUUUUCCCAGGGCAAUGCUUACCCAUUGCACUGUGGAUGUGCUGACCUUUAAAAUUUCCCCAAUGUGGAAAACUCAACUACAUAAUUUGUGGUAGUGGGGGACUGUGCUCAUACUUUCCCCUG